CCGCCCCGCCCCGCCGCCUUGCUCGGCCGUCCCGCUCGCCGCCGCCUCCUCUCCUCCCCCGCGUCCCGCUUCUCCCACCUCGUCGUCGCCUCCUCUCCCCUCCCGCGCCCCCCUCGCCCUGCCCAUCCCUGCCCGUCCAAGCUCAGGGUCGAGGGGCGCGCCGGGUCCGGGCGAGGCGGCUCGAUGGUGAGCGCGAUGGAUCUCCAGCUAGCUCGGGCGUGUGGACGUGUUGAUGAGCGCGCCAGCGGCCGUGGCGAGCUCGAGCCCGGGAUAAACCUAGCGUCAUGGUCGCCAUGGACGCCAGCGCUGCACCUGCACCGCCGGUUGGUACUCCCCGACACCGUUCGGGCCCUCCUGCACUGCAUCACCCUCCUACCGCGCCUACUAGACCUACAGGAAGUGCUCAUGUAUCAAAUUCCAGUUGUUACUCAACCUGUAGUGGAUUCCAUUUGCUGAAGAUAUCGUCCAUUGUCACCAGUGUCUCCUUCUAUCUGGCCUUCAUGGAUCAGUGAUACACAUACUGAUGGCAGAAGAGCGCCUAUAAUACAGUUUGGUCCCUUUAGAUAAAAAAGUGGAUGAUGAUUAGCUUGAGGAGAAGAUCCUCUCUAAAGAAGCACAUGCUACUGCAGUGAUCCUCGAGAGCGUUGGAUACAUUCAAGAUACUGAGGACUGAGACCAAACAGCGAAGCGAUGCCUUAUUUGAUUGUAAACUCAACCGAGUGACACAGGGACCAUUCCAUUUGACGAGGCUCAUGCUGCCCGGAUUUCGUUAAACAAGCCAUCUAUGUCCCAAAGUUGAGGACCGUUUGGAGAAGAGGCCACCCAGACAAUUUAAACAGAUGCAGGAUAUGAUUAGGCGCACAUAUACAAGUAUCUUUAUGACGACACUUGCACCAGUUUUCAUCGUUGUUGUUCUUGCCUGUUGCCUCCCCCCCUAUCGCUUCGCUAGCUGCGGCAAGCUCAGGGCACAAUCAUCAGCUUCAGCUGCAUCAAUGCAACUUGCUGGUCGAUGGUCCUGCUACCCUAGGUGAUGAGGGGGACGGUACUUCAAGUGAACUAAGGAGUGUGUCGUUGCUGAUGAGAGCCCCCUUCCCUUUGAAACCAAAAAGGCAAGGCGACACUGAAACCAGAGAGGUUAGGUGUUGUUGGGUGCUCGCCCUUUUGGUUUUUUGGUGCGUUUGUGCUCGUCGGUGGGACGGUGCAAGGCGCAACUCCGGCGCGGUUCCUUGCCGGUUGGACGACGUUCACGUGCAACCCCGGUGUGCACUGAGUACUGUCUCGGCUACAACCUCCCUCGGCAGGCUGGGUGGGCUCCUCGUUAGCAUCGGCUUUCCCUGCCUGCCACUCCUCUCUGAUGGAGCGGACCUUUGGAUGCUCCUGGGCCUCUGGCCGUGUGCUAGAAAAAUGAGACUGCUUGGAACCCCUGGCUCCUCAGCGACUGGCGCAUUCUGGCUGUCCGAUCUCUUUGCUUGAUUGACUUCCGGCCGUCCGAUCGAGCGGUGGAGGGGCGUCGGCUGUCGGAUCGAAUCCCGCCCCCUGUAGCACGCUCGAAGCCCGCACGACCCCGCCCGGUGAUUGCUCCAUCUGCCUGGUCGUAGCUCGCUGAUCUGUGGGGUCCCGUCUGGUGGGCCCCGAUCGUCAGCGAGCGGGUGUGCGGGUGCGCCUGUAUACGUCACGUGCCGCGCGCGCCGCCGGAAAUAUCCCGUGCCACCACAUGGGAAUAUUGCCCCCCGCCGAGGGCUUUUUCAACUUUGCGCGUCCAUGCUGCUUGCGUGGUGGGAGGUGGUUGGCGCGCCGUGGCUAUGUGGUGGGGGUCGGCUGGCUCCCUUCUCAUUCGCCCCCCUCGUUCCCCUUUCUCUAUCUCCCGUCUCCUUUCGCCGCCGCCACCGUCGACGCUCGCCCUCCCGUUUUGUGCCACCGCUUGUAAAUAGCCUGCCCCGCCGGGGGCAUUCUUGACAUUUCGCUUUGUCUGUGGCGGUGGUGUUCGUGCUAGGGCGAUGAUGAUUAACUGUAGCUGGAAUAAGUGUGCCUUUGAGCAAUCAAGGCACCUAUGGGUAUCAAGUUGGAUCCUCCCUGUUGUCUCUAGAAUCCUCUUUGAUCCCGUGAUACCUAUUGAUAUGUCCUUGGAUGGUCAUUCUUGUUGAGUGAUAACAAGGGCAGCUCCAUUGUAUAAACAGAUUGAUCUGGUGAUAAGAGAUGAUGGGGGUAGGUUAUAUGAUCGAGAAAAGGCGAAUCUGAGUCCACUAUGCAAUAAAACUGCAGCUACCUCCCCUAAUGUGUGUAGUAUUGAAGGCAAAAGAGAACUUUUAAUGUCUUGCUACUUUAAAAUUCCAAAAUGGUGAAUUCUUCCUUUGCUGGUUACUUAACCAUGAUUUUUUGUUUUGCUUUGGUUCUGUUUGAGAUACUAAAGGUUGUUUAUGUAUGAAAAUAAUAGACACUUGUAGUUUUGUAUGCCUCACCUGUAGCUUAGGAUCCAGUGUUGUAAUGUUUUGCCUGAGUAAAAAUAACUCUAAUCAAUAAUAGUGGUUCUAUCCUUCUGAUUUGAACUGGGAGAGGGCCACUCAUUCUUGAUCUUAAGGUGACCCCAUUUUUCUAUGCCUCAUGCUCAUGCUGCUCUAUGUUCCCUUUUAAAGAUUCUUGCUUGCACUUUGGGUUGGUUUUCUGCUCUAUGUUCCCUUUUAGCAUUUCUUUCCGCUGUUGUUGCAUUCCCUUUUUUGUAUAUUACAUGUUCUUUUUGUAUCUCAUUCUGCAUGUAACAUAACUAAAUAAUACAUUGAUAUGAAAGGUUAUAUCUGAUAUCAUUGAGAGGAGCAGGCCAACAUCCCUACCUCCCUCUUCAACUCCCACCCAACACAAUUGUGGUGAGCUCCCCCUCUCAUCUACUUGCUAUUUGUACCUUCGGUUUUGGAUGCAUACAAAUUAUGUAUGCCAUGACUGAAACUCGAGGCAAAUUGUGCGUGUGCGUGCGUGUGCGCACGCACAUCACGUUUUUGUUUAAUUUUGGAUGGCUCAAACCGGCUGGAGCCAACUUUGUGUGCGUGUGAGUGCGCAUCCAUUGCAUGUAAAAAUCUUGUUUUUUUCCAAACUCUUCUACUGUCAGAUGUGUAGAUAAAUUGCUUAUCUGGGCAGUUGUAGUACUCCAUGCCAUUACUAACUUUACCAUUACUUGCUUGGGCACAUCGUUGGGACCGGCACCCUCGCGCCAAGGUGCGUUGCCGAUCUAGAUGACGGUGGCUGGUCUGUAGGCUUUUAUUGUUGGGAACAGGAACUGGACUGUUCGUGUAUAUGUUUCGCCUUUGUGGCAGCAUCGUGGAACCACUGAUAACGGUCCUAUCAAACACACUGACAUGGUUCUUUUGGAUGCCCAGUGUCGGUGUAAAGAAAGUGCCAGCAAGUGGUCUACAUAAGUCUGGACUGCGUAAACCUUUGUUUUCCGAUGGGUAUGCUCAGGGACUCGCAAAAGUGGAUGGCAGCUCCGUUGGUCCCGGUGAUGAACUUGCUACUACCUCGAGGUUUGAUGCAGGUUUUUGACAGUAUAUGCAUCAUCUCUUACUUCUUUCACAUAAUUUUCAUUUGUUAUUGAAGCAAAUCAACUGAAGACCUGGCAGCAGAUGAAGCCAAGCCCUCUGUGGCUAAAAGGGCCAAGUUUUAGAUCAAACGCCCUUAGGUAGCCUAUAGUUUUGGUGUGUCUGUGAUACGUCUCCAACGUAUCUAUAAUUUUUGAUUGCUCCAUGCUACUUUAUCUACUGUUUUAGGCAAUAUUGGGCUUUAUUAUCCACUUUGAUAUUAUUUUUGGGACUAACCUAUUAAU